AUGAAGAACGUAGCGAAAUGCGAUAAGUAAUGCGAAUUGCAGAAUUCAGUGAAUCAUCGAAUCUUUGAACGCACAUUGCGCCCGCUAGUAUUCUGGCGGGCAUGCCUGUCUGAGCGUCAUUUCAACCCUCGCCCCCGGCUUUUGCUGGGAGCGGUGUUGGGGAUCGGCCGCCCGUCACUGGGAGGCCGGCCCCGAAAUAGAGUGGCGACCACGCCGUGUGCUCCUCUGCGUAGUAGUAAAUCACCUCGCAGGCGGACAGCGGUGCGGCCUGCCGUAAAACCCCCAACUCUUUCUGGUUGACCUCAGAUCAGGUAGGAAUACCCGCUGAACUUAAGCAUAUCAAUAAGCGGAGGA
rnacentral:misc_RNA from 1 species